rnacentral:misc_RNA from 1 species
AGCUCCUAUAUUAUUCCCAUACAUGUCCACCCCCUGCUCCAGCUUCCUGGCAACAAUGGAGUACCCUGCAAAUCCUAACCCUAAUUCGCAUCUUCCUCCUCCUCCUCAGUACUUCGACCAGAAUAUCCUCGACCCUUUUCUGGAGGAGUUUCAGUUAUCGGAUUAUCUCAUGCUUGAUGCUCAUAUUUAUGGGUUCGCUAAUGAUUCCACCAAUUCAGAGCAUAGUAUGGUGUUAUCGGAGCAAGUUCUUAGUGGUGGUGGUGCAAAACCAAGAAAUGCUAGAAGCAAUAAAUCCAGAAGGGGAUUCAAGAAAGAGAAGGGUGAAGUGAGACAUAGGGUUGCAUUUACAACUAAAUCGGAUUUGGAUAUCAUGGAUGAUGGGUUUAAGUGGAGGAAGUACGGCAAGAAGUCGGUCAAGAACAGCCCCAAUCCAAGGAACUAUUAUAAAUGUUCAAGUGGAGGAUGCAAUGUAAAGAAGAGAGUAGAAAGGGAUAGAGAAGAUUCAAGAUAUGUGAUAACAACUUAUGAGGGGGUCCACAAUCAUGAAAGCCCUUGUGUGGU